rnacentral:rRNA from 1 species
CCCCGGCGCCACAAGUGGUUAUCACGAUUAUUGGGCCUAAAGCGUUCGUAGCCGGUCUGGUAAAUCUCUUGUGAAAUUGUUCGGCUUAACCGGACAGCGUGCAGGAGACACUGCUAGACUCGAGACCGGGAGGCGUAAGAAGUAUUCCAUGGGGACUGGUAAAAUGGGAUAAUCCAUGGAAGACUACCGAUGGCGAAGGCAUCUUACGAGAACGGAUCUGACGGUGAGGAACGAAAGCCAGGGGAGCGAACCGG